UAGUCUACGCCGUAAACGAUGGAUACUAGUUGUUCGGUUUUCGGACUGAGUGACUAAGCGAAAGUGAUAAGUAUCCCACCUGGGGAGUACGUUCGCAAGAAUGAAACUCAAAGGAAUUGACGGGGGCCCGCACAAGCGGUGGAGCAUGUGGUUUAAUUCGAUGAUACGCGAGGAACCUUACCAGGGCUUAAAUGUAGAUUGACAGGUUUAGAGAUAGACUUUUCUUCGGACAAUUUACAAGGUGCUGCAUGGUUGUCGUCAGCUCGUGCCGUGAGGUGUCAGGUUAAGUCCUAUAACGAGCGCAACCCCUGUUGUUAGUUGCCAGCAUGUAAAGAUGGGGACUCUAACGAGACUGCCGGUGCAAACCGAGAGGAAGGUGGGGAUGACGUCAAAUCAUCACGGCCCUUACGUCCUGGGCCACGACACGUGCUACAAUGGUAUGGACAAUGAGCAGCCACCUGGCAACNGAGAGCAAAAUCUAUAAACCNUAAUCACAGUUCGGAUCGGAGU
rnacentral:rRNA from 1 species